UCCCGAUAAUAGCAAAUCAAUCGAAAGGUUGAGACGCAAAGUCACAGAUCUAAAACUAUUAAUUUAGUUAAGAUGGCUGGGCUGCCGAA
rnacentral:ncRNA from 1 species